rnacentral:rRNA from 1 species
AUUGAACGCUGGCGGCAGGCCUAACACAUGCAAGUCGAGCGGAUGAAGGGAGCUUGCUCCUGGAUUCAGCGGCGGACGGGUGAGUAAUGCCUAGGAAUCUGCCUGGUAGUGGGGGAUAACGUCCGGAAACGGGCGCUAAUACCGCAUACGUCCUGAGGGAGAAAGUGGGGAUCUUCGGACCUCACGCUAUCAGAUGAGCCUAGGUCGGAUUAGCUAGUUGGUGGGGUAAAGGCCUACCAAGGCGACGAUCCGUAACUGGUCUGAGAGGAUGAUCAGUCACACUGGAACUGAGACACGGUCCAGACUCCUACGGGAGGCAGCAGUGGGGAAUAUUGGACAAUGGGCGAAAGCCUGAUCCAGCCAUGCCGCGUGUGUGAAGAAGGUCUUCGGAUUGUAAAGAACUUUAAGUUGGGAGGAAGGGCAGUAAGUUAAUACCUUGCUGUUUUGACGUUACCAACAGAAUAAGCACCGGCUAACUUCGUG